UUUACAACGACCUUCCUGUUCUGAUUUUUUUCUCCUUCGCCAUCUUCCCCCCGAUCCCAUUCUGCUACAGCCUACAGUCACCGGCGUGCAUGGUAGUCACUGGCGUACAUUGACCGUAUUCGAAGCUAUUCUCCGUCUUCAUAGUUUCCGUUCACGUCCAAUCCCCCACCUAGUUCUACUGUCAUUCUUCAAAGAACCUCACCGCACUUUCAUUCCCCUUAUUCCUCUUCCCCGCAUUCGGUUCCAAGCAAACCGGCGUCCAAGUUCGUCAGUGGUGUACAUUGAAUGUAUAUAAAGGUGUUGCAUUCCAUCUUCAUUCCAGUCACGGUGGAUGGUGGUAGUUCGUCUUUGAGGUGAUCAACUCCACUGUAGUCGUUCGUCCUCACUGGUGAAGCCUAUUCAGAGGUCAGAUGUUAUAGAUUAUUCUGGCCAUCAACCAUGGAGGGGAGUGAAGACAGUGCAAGUUGAUGUUACUUGUAUUGGAGUAGGUCAAAUAUCGUAUAAAUUUUGUUGAAUAUAUUAAGUAUACACCAAGCUUUAGAUUGAAUGGGAAUAUAAAUAUACGUUCGGUAUUUGGUGUAGAUGAUUGUGGUGUCUGCGAUUGCUGGUUUUGGUAAUACAAAAUUCAUUUGGUUCCAACCGUUAGGGUAUUUUUACAUCACAGACAAUUAAUCAAUGAAAGAUGGAAUGUGAGUUUGGGGAAGACAAGGAGAGAUUUGCCCCAAUAUUAUAUUGGUGUCAGAAGGAAUUUUUCCUUCACCCUGCCUUCGAUUCCAAUGUUUAACAUGUCCAAGAUGUUAAUAUUCCUUUGUAAAUACGUGUAAUCAUGUGAAGUAAUGUAUCAUUGAUGUGUCUAUGCUUUUGUAUUUUGGUAUUACCUGACAUUCAGUUCCCUUGGUGCUUCUGUAAGUGUUGUAAUGCUGUGAACAAUGGAAUAGUAUGUUUUGUGUGAUAUUGUUUAGGUUUGGCAAACAUUUGGUGGCGGGUCUUUUGAAUUUUCCWCCUUCUUGAUACACUGAAAUGACCCAAAGUAGAAGUUGCAUGUGAAGUCAUUGAUUUGGUCGCCAGUAGGUGGAGUACUUCAUGCCCUGGGGAAAAACUUUCUGACAAUGGAAACUAGGGGGAUUGGCAUGAGGUGUUCCACAAGACAGUUCAGGUAAUUGCUUGCAAGAUUGUCAUUGAGACACGAGCAUAUUGAUGUAAUCAAAGCCACUUCUUUUGGAACUUUCUUUGCGUCCCACACAUCGCUUCAGAAAAGUUUAUACUGGAGUUGGUGCAAUGUUGGGACUUAGAGCAUUGUUGUUUCAAUCUUGGUGGGAAAUCUAUAUCGUUUACGAAGUGCGACAUUGCUGUGAUAAUGGGCUUGGGACUACAUGGACAACCUGCAAAUCUGGACAAGGAUAUUCCGAAAUUAGAGUUCGUCAACCGCUUGUUUAGUACUAGUAAGAAAGUAGCACAACUGAAACUGUAUCUGGUGGAGAAGAAGCUAUUGGAAACAAUGCACAAGCAAUCAAAGGAAACCAUCAAAGAUGUGGUUAAGCUUGCUGAUUUUGCAUCUUUUUGGUUUAGUAUUGUUUCCCCAAAGUGGGCCUAGAGUUAACUGUUUUUGGUGGAAUAUGUCGAUGUCUUGGUGCAUAUUGGGGAUUAUAAUUAUUCAUGGGCAUGUUGUGUGCAUUAAUUCCUUGUAUGUGCACUUGAUAGAGUUGUUAGUGGUGUUCAUCUGUCUAAUAGCGAUGGUCAAAGCAUGUAUUUGGGGAAUUUGUUUGGUUGUGUUGUUGCGCUGUUGGUGGGUGGCUAACUUUGUCAUAUACUCAUAUUUAUUUGUUCAAUUUCUCAUAUAAUAUGGUAUGGAACAAUGUUGUCUGUUAUUGGAAAAAUAAAAUCUUUGAUUCCUUUCAUUUGUAGGCAUGGUUGUACGAGCAUAGUACAUCAUUCAAGCUCACAGACCUAAAUGCCAUGCCAGACUAUUCAGGUGGGGCAAUAUGGUGGAUAGCUGGAGCAAUAGUUGUAGGGAUUGCUUAAGAAGACUAACUCUGGAAUGGCAGGUGCCAUUAAUGAAGCCUUGUAUAUUGUGAUGAUAAUAUCAGUUGUCAUGUCUGGGUGUUCAUCUUUCUCUUACCCCUAGUUAUGACUAUAUUAUUUAUUGUUCAAGUGGUUGAUAGUCUGAUCCUGGUAGAAUAUGAAUUGGGGUUAGUGAACGUGGAUCUCUCAGGGGAGGUGAGGGAUAAUCCACUUGUAAUCUUAUCAUGAACACCAUUUAUUACCUUAUGCAAAUUUUUUCAUGGGGCAUGUUAUUCAACUAUGUGUGUCUAUAUGAUUUUAACACGUAGGAUAUCAAUCCCACCACCACUUGUGAUGGGCGAGACGUAAAAUCCAGGUGGUUGUGUUGAUGGUGAUUCAUUCGUGGAGCAUGAUGCGGCAAGACUAGUUCGAAGUCUUGAAUUGCAGUAUGUGUAGAAAAUUUGGCUAUGUGGAUGGUGUGGUUUCACUCAUGGUGGGGCUUGUUAGUUUCCUUGUUAUGUAGGAUCUCUUGCCUAUCACCAAUGUACCGGCUGAUGAGAGGCCAGGCAUAGAGCGAUGUUCUGGGAUUCUGUCACUUCGGAACAAAAUCAUGGUGCACAAGAGUCAAAAAAAAUAUUUUGUAUUAUUUGUGUAUUACCCGACUAAUGUGGGGAGAUGUUCCUGGUGCUAUAGGGUGUGUGUCCACGAUGUGUUGAUUCUAUAAGUUCAAGCACUUGACCAGGAAGUCUAGUCAGGUAGGUUCCUAUGUGAGGGAGAUUGAUUGGUUGCAGGAUGAGGUUGAACGAUUACAUGGAACAUUGGUAGCUAGUGGCAUCGAUCCUGAUAUCUGUCCCGGGUAGAGAUAUGUUGUUGGUGAGGGGAAUGAAAUACAGAAGGAAGAGGUACCACCCUUUGAAGAUGACACAUUGACCUUGCUGCCUAUUGGUUUAGAUCCCACCUCACCCACUAAGUCAUUUGGGGGAAGCAUGCUGGCUUCGUGCAAGAUUGUUUCACCAUGUACUAGUGGUUUGAACAUGGACAGACGUGGGCAUGUUUUGGGUAAGCGGGAGAGGUUUCUAAGUAGCCUUGUUGUGUCCCUUUUUCGACCCCCCAGGCGGUGAUGGGCAGAUGGCUAAAAAAUUUGUUGUUGCGGCUGGUUCUACAUGAGUGCUAUGGAAAAAGGUGAAAUGAAAUCUACUAUUUAUGCAAUUUUAUCACUUUGUUGUUUAAUCAUUAUUUCCUUUAAUGUGACAGAGAGUGAGUGGGGUAUCACUUUGGGCAUCAUUAAAUGAGGAGUGAUUGGCUGUGAAGGACGUGGAGUUGGUGAAGAGGUUCUUGCACAAGGAUAUUAGAGAGGAGGGAUCAAUAUGUAUGGAAGACCAAUGAUCUAUCCCUAGACGAAGCUAAUCUCCUCUCUAUUUUUAACAAGAAGGGAUGGUUGUCUGAGGAGAACUUUGUUCAGUGUUGUCUAGAGCAUUUUGAACAGAGCUAGAGAACAACUUCUGGGUACCAGACUCAAUAAAGGCAAGCAGAGCAAUUAAAGAAAAGUAGAUGACCGUCAGGCAAAUUUGAUGCUGAGUUACUGAUCAUAUUAGCCUUUUCCAUUUGGAAAGUUUAAGUGAGAUGGACGACUCUUCUAAGUGAUUGCUUUAGUUAAAUGUCAAACAAUUUGAGGAGAUUUGAGUGUGUCAAAAGAAAAGGUCAUUGGAAUUAUGAUUUUGCAAUCUAUUCUGUU